rnacentral:lncRNA from 1 species
UUACAUAGUACUUGAGAAUAUGUAAAUCGAAGAGGAUGGAAUUAUAAUAAUGGUAUAUCCCACACCCGGUCAAGCACUAGAGUUAAGAUCAAUAAACUAAGGGUGUGAUCCUGCAAUCACUAUGUGACAGAAUAAUUUGCCAUGCACACCAGUAAUACAAAGCCCAAUGCUAAUUCAUGAUCAGAGCAGAGCAGAGCAGGCAUAUAUCAUAACCUUUUUUCAACAAAUAACUUCCAAAGACACGGCACAAUGAAAUGGAUUUUAUAGCCGAGGUACACGCAUCAUCAUUGCAGAUUAACUCCGAAGAGGUGAUGUAAUCAAGUUUAUAUGCAAGCGUGAACACAAAUCAAACAUGGCAUAGCAUCAGGGAGUGAGGACCAAUGGUGGUCACCCUUGGAUGAUGAGUGAUUGACAACGUUGUGUUGGUUUGAUGUUUCUCUUGGCUUGUGAUGUGCAGGUGUAGGAUGCGACGUGGCAGUCGACGGCGUGCGGUGAAGGUCAAGCGAAAGGUUCAUGCCGAUGGACCAAGGGCGGUGAAGGAUGAACGCGAGUAGGCUUGGACCGAUGGACCCGAGGAGUCCGGGCGAAGUCACGGGCGAUCCACAUGGUGCACGGAAUGGCGAGAGGGCAUGACAGGUUGGAGACGGUGUCGGUCGAGUCAAGCAGGAGGCUUGGCGGAGGCCGGACACGCGUCAAUGGACGGUUUGGGUGGUUUGGGCCUCAAAACCACCACGCAGGCAGGUUUCCCGGUUUGGGCCUCAAAACCGGGGGCGAGCCCGGUGCGGCCGGAGCUUCGAGAAGGAGGGCACGUGGCGUCAUCGCGAAGCUUGCGUCGAGGCGAAGCAAAGUCGUGAAGGCGGCGUGUCCGUCCGGUGCACAGAUAAAAACUUGGACCAAAAUGCCCCUGCGUGGGUAGUUAUCUUAGUUGUAGCUGUAGGGGUAGUAUAGUCUUUCGUCCUGGACUAUAAAUAGGGAUGGGGGGCUGGUUAUUUCAGCACCUCUUGGCUUAUCAACUCAUGAUCUAUUUGCUUAGAGGCUAGUCAUGUGCUUAAAGUGAGAGGAGAGAGGGGGAUUAGGGAGUGAUUACUCUUUUCUCUUGAUUUCUUCAUCUUUAGUGGGUGGAUGAAGGGAGGAGGCUAGUCCUCAUCUUGUAUAGAAGAUAUUCUCGUGAUUUAGCUUUAUUUGUUGUCUCAAAUCGUGCUAAAUCUUUGAUUCCCGAGCGUUUUUCUUUUUCCCUAUUUUCGGAACUAUUUUUGGGGAUUUUUCGUUCAUCAUGUUUGAGCCCGAAUCUCGUGAGAUUGGUUGAAGGGAAAUGUUGCUAGGACCUUGGAGAACAUUCGUGAUAUGAUCUCCUUUCAAAUCCCUCACGAAUCCGGCUUGAUUUUGAGUUUUUCCCAAAUCGCGUUCUUGAGUUAGGGUUUCGGUUUUCUCCAAAAUCCGUGAUGGAUACUUGAGCUUUUUGAGAUCUUUUUCAUGGAUCCAUUAGCCCUUGUGGUUGCGUAUCUAUAGCUCAAGUUUCGUCUCAAUUCAUGGAAUAUUGAGGAUAGAUUUUUGAAUUGAAGUUCGAACCGAGCUCUCGGUGCCUUUUGUUUUCUUUCUGUUCUUCAGGUCGAGCAGCAGACGAGAGGUACGGGACAGCGCACGCAAGUCUGCACCAGAGCAGCAGGCCAGCAAGUUGCGCAGCAGGCCGAGCAAGCUGUGCCGCAGGCCAGCUCGUUACCUGGGCCGGAUUGCAUCUGGUGGCCCAAGCUGCAGCAGCAGGUGCUCGCGGGCCAGGCUUUCAGCAAUUCCAAGCAAGCACCCGCAGGCCAUCCAGUGGCAGCAAGCCUGCCACUCACGCAAGGAGCAAACCAGCUACAGUGAGCUUAUUCUUCUGUUCUUUUAUUUAAGUCACGCACCUUGGUAGUUAAUUCCUAUUUAGCUACUAAAUUAGUUUUAAAUCUUGCUAAUCAUGCCGAGCUAUUUAAAUUAAAUGUUUCUUCUUGCAUGCUUAGUUUAUUUAAUUAAUGGCUAAUUCUUCCAUGCCUACUUAAAUAAGUGAUUAAUAGUGUUCUUGUUUUGUCUCAUCCGUGCAAAUUUGAUAGAAUCAAUUCAUGCUAUAUUUCCGCUGUAAUUUGUGCGUCUCUUAUCGUUCCUAGGGUGAGCUAGUCACGAGUUGACUUGCGUCAUCUUGACGAUUGAACGCACCGUGUGCUUUGGGGUUGCGUUUGGGACAUAGGCCUUGUUUUCGUUGAGAAUUUUUUAUAGGCUCCCAUUCACCCCCCCUCUGGUCGCCCCUUCGGUCCUUCAAUUGGUAUCAGAGCCGGUUAAGGUUUCUCCAUACCCUAAUCGGUUUCGAAACCUAUUAUGGCGACCUCUGAGCGUUCUUCCUCGACCGCUGCACCCUACUUUGAUGGCUCUGAUUAUCGGUAUUGGAAAACUCGCAUGAGAGCCCAUCUAAAUAGUAGGGGAGCAGGGGUUUGGGAAAUCACUCAGGAUGUGACUUAUGUGAUUCCUGCUACUCGUGUGACUCAGGAUGAAAGGGAUAAGUAUCACGCCAACAGCAAGGCGGUUGAUAUUCUG